UACAUACCUGUACCAUGGGUAAACGUGCAUCACACAACGAGGACGUAAAUAAAAGGUGAGGAAGGCCCUAUGAAAGUAGCUUGCAAUUUAUUUUAUUAAAAAAAAUAAUUUCCAUGUAAUAUGUUUUCAGAUAGCUGCAUAGUUGUGUGUAGGUGUUCAUACUCUGUUAUCUUAGCCAAAUACACUAGACAAUAACUCAUUCUGUAAACUAAACGAUAAAAUUAAGAAUCCUCUGACUAUAAAAGAAUAUCGACAAAAGAACAAUAUCAGCAUCGUCAUAAAGAAUUAGUACAAUGUGGUGUUUGGGCAGGGAAAGUUACCCAACAUAUCACAAUUGCCUACAAUGGUUACUUACCGGUGCAUAUACAUCAAGAUUAUGGUAACAAAAUCAAAUAAAUCUUUUUUUUCCAAUUCUUAACUGUGUUAUUGUAUGCAUCACUAUAAUUACUGCACAAAGGAAAAUAUUUAAUAUGUAUAGGGUCUUAUUUUUUCAUCCACUCUACUUUUACCAUAGUGGCCCCCCAUACAGUAGCGAAAUAAAUAUAACAUUGUCCUUAUUUUCUGCUUGCUUUGUUAUCUUUUGAACUUACAUGCAAAUACUUUUCUAGAGACAUUUGACAAAGGCUGGUGGUACAAUUAGUGCAUGGGAAGUGUUAAAGUACCAUCAUCUGAAAUAGUUUUAUGUGGUAAAUUGGCUGGCUUUAAACUUGUCCCAAAUAGGACGUGUUCUCAGGAUGACCAGAAGUUAAUAUUCAGUGCAUCUCCCAAAUGUGGCCUUUUAGCCCCCAACAAGCAAGCCCCUCAAAAGAUGUUGCUGAACGCAUAUUGGGGUGUUUGGCAGUAACAUCUACCGGGAUUUGUGAAUUCAUACCUGAUAUACAAUCUGUGUGGGGAACAAAAAUACAAAUAAAAUUACAACCGCAAACUUUGACAAAGGCUGGUGGUAGAAUUAGUGCAUGGAAAGGGUUGAAAUGCUCUGGGGUGUCUGGCUUUCAAAAAUAUACAGUUUGAUGAGGUAAAUUAAAAUGUCAAGCUUCAAAGAUGUCCCAAAUAGGAGAAGAGGUGCAGGAUAACAGAUUUGGGGGAAAAAUGGUUUCGAAAUAGCAGUACACUACUUUUAUUUGUUGCCUAUAAAUUGCAAAUAAAAAUCAUAAAAACA